UGAGGCGGCAGAACCUAGGGCUUAGGAGUGAAUGGUACGGGAGCACAAAGGGAUGGAGAGAUUGUUCUCUGCCAGUGAGGGUGAAGGGGUUGGAGGAGGAUGUGGCGUGCUCUCCGGAUCAUGGCGAGAAAGAACAGUCUCUGGUAACCACUACUGGACUCUCUACCUCCAUGAGAUCAACGUUUUUAGCUCCCACAUAUGAAUGAGGACAUAUAAGAUUCACCUUUCCAUGCCUGGCUUAUUUUGCUUAACAUAAUGACCAUCCAUGUUGCAACAAAUAACAGGAUUUUCUUCUUUUUUUAUGGAGUUCACAGAAGGGUUCACAAAACUCAAGGAAACAUUCACUUCCAUUUGCUGGUUUACUAUUAAGAAUACAACUGAAGUACAGCCAGAUGGAAGAGACCCACAGGGCAAAAUAUGGAGAAGGGGCAUGGG
rnacentral:lncRNA from 1 species